CGCGCUUAGGGAUUUUAAAAUAAAAAAAAAUAAAAUUUCUAGUGAUUGUUAUGGAUGAUGAGGAGGAGGUUCAAAAUGUGCCACGGAGGCAUUUAAGAGAUGCUUCGAAUUUAUUUGAAGUACCUAACAACCAGUUUGUGUCUUCCAGUGGUCUUCAAGGGAUUGCCUGCUGCUUCCAAAAAUUGGCACUCCUCUGGCGAACUUAGGAUUCUCCUCCAUAUACUCAACUAGUGCCCGCAGCUGUGUAGUUUUUUCGUGCUGGAAUUGAGAAAAUAAAAAAAUAUAUAUUUGUUGUUCACAGAUUAAAUUGCAUUUAUUAUUUUUACUUACAUUUUUCUUUCCAUUUUCAAUUAAGGAAUGUUUAUGUUAAAACAAUUUUCCUUAAUUUUUAUCAUUCGACAGCAAACACACAAGUGACUGAUUUUGACAUUUGUGUUCGCAUGCGUACGAAAGAAAAAAGAUAGUAAGUAGUAAGUAGGUAAUUCUUUAUUUGAGUCUUCUUCUUUCUUUGAUAGGUUUACAUUACGAAUGGUUAACAGUAUACCCUUAGAACUACUGUUGUCUUGUUCUAACUUAAUCGUGACAUAUAUGAUUAUGCUACAUUGCUUGAAUGAAAAGGCAGAAUGUUUAAAGUAAAAACAGAUUGAAAUUAUGAGAGAGGCUUGUUCACGGCCUCAAAUGUUACGAACAGAGCGAGAAUGUCUGUAAAUAAAUAAAUAAAGGUAUAAAAACAAACAUAAAAACUAAAUAACAAACAAAGUUCUGUUAAGUUUGAAAUGCGAUUCUAAGUAAAUCGAACGCUCAGGUACAGUUUAGAGCUUAAUAAUCUAAUUAUUGCUUAACCUCUAUGGUUGCCAGGUGCUGAUUUGCUGUAAAAAGGAGGUAGCGUGUAUUCGUUGUUGACAUCUGUGGCUGGUUCGUUUAAUAUACCAAUUGGAGAGAGGUAAUACGAUUCUGGCCACGAUAUGUGCUUUUCCAUUUGGUAGAUUUCAUUCAUUAGUAAGUUUUCAUGGGUUUCGAGUUUUUCCACGAAUUUCUUCUGGUGGCUUUGGAUAUACUUACAAAAAGGCACAACCCUGGACGUGUUGUAUAUAAUUUCUAACUCCUUGGCCACUAUUGGGGAAAUAGAGAACCAGAUCGGAAACCCGUACGCUAAGAUAGAUCUAAUUGCAACUUUGUAGAGAAGUAACUUCGUGUUUUGUGGUAGGUAUUUGCUAUUUAAUAGAUAUGAAAACUUUACUAAUAUACCUUUUGUCUUCUGCAUGACGGACCGUGCGUGUAUAUUGAACUUCAUCAGAUUGGUGAGAGUAAUACCCAAGUAUUUGAGAGAUGUUUUAAAGGGAAUCUCAACUCCUUCAAGAGACAGCUGAAGUUCUUUACUCUCUGGAACAACGUUUCUAGGGCAUUUUCCCGAAGCGUUCCGGAAACAUAUUGCUACGGAUUUAUCGGCAUUGAUUUUGAUUCCCCAUUUUUGAUAGAAUUCAUGGAUGCUCUGGAGAUGAGUUCUGGCGUUUUGUAAAUUAAGCAGUCGUCAGCAUAUAAAAUCGCUUGAGAGCCUUGGCCGAUAUGGGGGAAGUCAUACAGAAAAUUAUUGAAAAGGACCGACUCAAAUAACUUCCCGAUGUUGGACAAUAGUGAUAUUGGACGAAAAUUGCUCAAAGUGUUGUCAUUAAUUAUUUUCUUCUUUAUGGGAAUAAUUUUCGCCAAUUUCCAGAGUGAUGGGAAAUAUCCAUUGUUAAUGCAGUUGUUGAAGAGACAUGAUUGGUAAAGUGAAAAGAGUCUGGAUUGUUUAAUGAAUUGAAGUUAUCAUCAAAUGAGUAAAUGUGCGGUGGAACGGCGUUGAUGCAUGUUGUGACUCUAGAGCUAAGAUCGUCUACAGGGUUUGUG